UUUCCGUAGGUGAACCUGCGGAAGGAUCAUUAAAAAAUUGGACUCUACGAAGGUCUAUUAAUAAUCCUCACCCUUUGUGAAUUUGUUUGUUUGAAAUAAUUUUUUUAAAAAAUUAUUGAAUGUCUUUCCCUAGUUUGUUUGCUUUGCUUGAAAGCGAUCUAGGGGAAUGGCAAACAAUAAUAUUUUAAAGACUUUUUUUAAAAUAAAACUUUUGUAUUCAUUUGUCUAAAAUUAUUUUUAUAAUAUAAAAACAACUUUUGACAAUGGAUCUCUUGGUUCUCGCAACGAUGAAGAACGCAGCAAAAUGCGAUAAGUAGUGUGAAUUGCAGAAUACGUGAAUCAUCGAAUCUUCGAACGCAUAUUGCACUUUUUUAGUUUACUAAAAAAGUAUGUCUGUUUGAGUAUCAGUAAAAUAUUCUCAUAAAAAUUUUUUUUUUAUGGUUAUGAGUGUUUUACAACGAUACAAGUUGUUUCACUUUAAAUUCUUUGUUAUCAAAAAAAGUCAUUAAACUAAUUAAGAUUUUUUUUAAAAAUUGGAUAAAAUUUUCCCGUAAAAAGGAAUAACCUAAACAAUUUUAAAAUAUUAAAUUAGCGAUUUCUUUUGACAUAAAAAGGAAAAGUCAAAUUAACUUGAUCUCAAAUCAGAUAAGAGUACCCGCUGAACUUAAGCAUAUCAAUAAGCGGAGGAAAAGAAACUAACUAGGAUUCCCUUAGUGACGGCGAGUGAAGCGGGAAGAGCUCAAAUUUGAAGUCUUCAAGGUUUUACCUUGACGAAUUGUAGUUUAAAGAAGUGUUUUCUGUUGGAGUUUUGGUAAAAGUUCUUUGGAAUAGGACAUCAUAGAGGGUGAGAAUCCCGUAUUUGACCAUUUUUCCAGCUGUGUGAUACACUUUCAAAGAGUCGGAUUGUUUGGGAAUGCAGUCCAAAAUGGGUGGUAAAUUUCAUCUAAAGCUAAAUAUUGGCGAGAGACCGAUAGCGAACAAGUACCGUGAGGGAAAGAUGAAAAGAACUUUGAAAAGAGAGUUAAACAGUACGUGAAAUUGUCAAAAGGGAAGCGUUUGACACCAGUGUUGUUUUCUCGAAAAUCAAUUAAAAAUGCCGGGAUUUUGUGUUGUAUUGACUUUAUCAGCUUUCUGCACUUUUUUCUUAUCUUUUUUAAUGCACUUUUCGUUUAACAAGUCAACAUCAAUUUCUUUUGCUGUAAAAGAGUCAUUGGAAGGUGGCUUUCUUUUCGGAGAAAGUGUUUAUAGCCUUUGACUUCUGCAGUCGGAGAGAUUGAGGUCUGCAGCGUAGAUCCUUCGGGGUUAGAUACAUUUGUGCUAAGUUGUAGCCUUUCAUAGACAACUUGUUGACUAUGAUCAGUCAUGUAGCUUACUCGCUUAUGCUAUUU
rnacentral:misc_RNA from 1 species